CAUUGGUCAAAGUCAUUCUGUUGAUAAAUAUUUGUCUUUUACCUUCAAAUUAAUCAUGUGUGCCCAUUUCUCUGUGACCACAGACUAAAAAGAAAACAGUUUCAAAGAUGAACAGAAACAUUAUCAUAGUCCUUCUUCUGAUUAUAGCAUCAGGGAAUGCCCAAAGCCCAACAACGAAUGCCCCCACAACCACAGCUGCCACCACAACACUGCUGCCGGUCACAACAACCACAGCUGCUUCGACUACAACAACAGCAGCAACCACCACAAUCACAGGAGCUGCCAUCACAACCCCUACUGCUCCUACUACAUCCAUAUCUCCUGUCAUGACAACCACAGAUGCUCCAACUACAACCACAAAUGGAGUCACAACAUCCACAGUUUCUCCCACAACAAUCACAGCUGCUGCCACAACAACCACAGAUGCUCCAACUACAACCACAGCUACUGCUGCAACACCAACCACAGCUGCUGCCACGACAACCACAGAUGCUCCAACUACAACAACAAAUGGAGUCACAACCACAGUUUCGCCCAAAACAACCACAGGUGCUGCUACGGUCACCACAGCAGGCAUCACAACUACCACAGAUUCUCAUUCAACAACCACAGCUGCUCCAACUACAACCACAGCUACUGCGGCAACACCAACCACAACUGCUGCCACGACAACCACAGAUGCUCCAAUUACAACAACAAAUGGAGUCACAACAACCACAGUUUUUCCCACAACAACCACAGCUGCUUUCACAACAACCACAGGUGCUGCAACCACAACCACAGCUGCCCCCACGACCACCACAGCUGGCAUGACAACUACCACAAUUCCGGUCACAACAACCACAGCUGCUUCGACUACAACAACUGCAGCAACCACCACAAUCACAGGAGCUGCCACCACAACCACUACUGCUCCUACUACAACCACAGCUCAUGUCACGACAACCACAGAUGCUCCAACUACAACCACAAAUGGAGUCACAACAUCCACAGUUUCUCCCACAACAACAACAGCUGCUUUCACAACAACCACAGGUGCUGCAACCACAACCACAGCUGCCCCUACGACCACCACAGCUGGCAUGACAACUUCCACAAUUCCGGUCACAACAACCACAGCUUCUUCGACUUCAACAACAGCAGCAACCACCACAAUCACAGGAGCUGCCACCACAACCACUACUGCUCCUACUACAUCAAUAGCUCCUGUCAUGACAACCACAGAUGCUCCAACUACAACCACAAAUGGUGUCACAACAUCCACAGUUUCUCCCACAACAACCACAGCUGCUGCCACAACAACCACAAGUGCUGCCACCACAACCACAGGUGCCGCCACGGUCACCACAGCAGGCAUCACAGCUACCACAGUUGCUCAUUCAACAUCCACAGCUGCUCCAACUACAACCUCAACUACGUCAAUGAUGACCACCACAGCUCCUGCCAUGACAACGACACCUGCAACUGCUGGAGCAGCCACCUUAACCACAGUUGCUGUCAUGACAACCACAGAUAAUCCAACUACAACCACAAAUGGAGUCACAACAUCCACAGUUUCUCCCACAACAACCACAGUUUCUCCCACAACAACCACAGGUGCUGCCACCACAACCACAGGUGCUGCUACGGUCACCACAGCAGGCAUCACAACUACCACAAUUGCUCAAUCAACAACCACAGCUGCUCCAACUACAACCUCAACUACGUCCAUGGUGACCACCACAGUUCCUGCCAUGACAACGACACCUGCAACGGCUGCCGCUGCAACCACAACCACAGUUGCUGCAACAAUGACCACAGGUGCUCCAACUACAACAACAGCUACUGCUGCAACCACAACCACAGCUGCACCCACGGCCACCACAGCUGGCAAGACAACUACCACAAUUCCGGUCACAACAACCACAGCUGCUUCGACUGCAACAACUGCAGCAACCACCACAAUCACAGGAGCUGCCACCACAACCACUACUGCUCCUACUACAACCACAGCUCAUGUCACGACAACCACAGAUGCUCCAACUACAACCACAAAUGGAGUCACAACAUCCACAGUUUCUCCCACAACAAUCACAGCUGCUGCCACAACAACCACAGAUGCUCCAACUACAACAACAAAUGGAGUCACAACCACAGUUUCUCCCACAACAACCACAGGUGCUGCUACGGUCACCACAGCAGGCAUCACAACUACCACAGAUUCUCAUUCAACAACCACAGCUGCUCCAACUACAACCACAGCUACUGCUGCAACACCAACCACAGCUGCUUCCACGACAACCACAGAUGCUCCAAUUACAACAACAAAUGGAGUCACAACAACCACAGUUUUUCCCACAACAACCACAGCUGCUUUCACAACAACCACAGGUGCUGCAACCACAACCACAGCUGCCCCCACGACCACCACAGCUGGCAUGACGACUACCACAAUUCCGGUCACAACAACCACAGCUGCUUCGACUACAACAACUGCAGGAACCACCACAAUCACAGGAGCUGCCACCACAACCACUACUGCUCCUACUACAACCACAGCUCAUGUCACGACAACCACAGAUGCUCCAACUACAACCACAAAUGGAGUCACAACAUCCACAGUUUCUCCCACAACAACAACAGCUGCUUUCACAACAACCACAGGUGCUGCAACCACAACCACAGCUGCCCCUACGACCACCACAGCUGGCAUGACAACUUCCACAAUUCCGGUCACAACAACCACAGCUUCUUCGACUUCAACAACAGCAGCAACCACCACAAUCACAGGAGCUGCCACCACAACCACUACUGCUCCUACUACAUCAAUCGCUCCUGUCAUGACAACCACAGAUGCUCCAACUACAACCACAAAUGGUGUCACAACAUCCACAGUUUCUCCCACAACAACCACAGCUGCUGCCACAACAACCACAAGUGCUGCCACCACAACCACAGGUGCCGCCACGGUCACCACAGCAGGCAUCACAGCUACCACAGUUGCUCAUUCAACAUCCACAGCUGCUCCAACUACAACCUCAACUACGUCAAUGAUGACCACCACAGCUCCUGCCAUGACAACGACACCUGCAACUGCUGGAGCAGCCACCUUAACCAUAGUUGCUGUCAUGACAACCACAGAUAAUCCAACUACAACCACAAAUGGAGUCACAACAUCCACAGUUUCUCCCACAACAACCACAGUUUCUCCCACAACAACCACAGGUGCUGCCACCACAACCACAGGUGCUGCUACGGUCACCACAGCAGGCAUCACAACUACCACAGUUGCUCAAUCAACAACCACAGCUGCUCCAACUACAACCUCAACUACGUCCAUGGUGACCACCACAGUUCCUGCCAUGACAAUGACACCUGCAACGGCUGCCGCUGCAACCACAACCACAGUUGCUGCAACAAUGACCACAGGUGCUCCAACUACAACAACAGCUACUGCUGCAACCACAACCACAGCUGCCCCCACGGCCACCACAGCUGGCAAGACAACUACCACAAUUCCGGUCACAACAACCACAGCUGCUUCGACUUCAACAACAGCAGCAACCACCACAAUCACAGGAGCUGCCACCACAACCACUACUGCUCCUACUACAACCACAGCUCAUGUCACGACAACCACAGAUGCUCCAACUACAACCACAAAUGGAGUCACAACAUCCACAGUUUCUCCCACAACAACCACAGCUGCUGCCACAGCAACCACAGAUGCUCCAACUACAACAACAAAUGGAGUCACAACAACCACAGUUUCUUCCACAACAACCACAGGUGCUGCCACCACAACCACAGGUGCCGCCGCCACAACCACAGGUUCCUCCACCACAACCACAGGUACCGCCACGGUCACCACAGCAGGCAUCACAACUACCACAGUUGCUCAUUCAACAACCACAGCUACUCCAUUUACAACCUCAACUACGUCCACAGAUGCUCUAACUACAAACACUGUUGGCGUUGCAAAAACCACAGCUUCACCAACUACAACUACAGCUGCUUCCUCUACAACCACAGCUGCUGCCACUUCAACCACAACAGCUGCUCCCACAACUACAGCUGCCACCACAAUAACCACAGAUUCUCUAACUACAAACACAGCUACUGCCACAUCAACAACUUAUCCAACUACAACCACAGUAGCUUCCUCUGCAACCACACCUUCUGCCACAACAACUAUACCUGCUGCCACUAUUACCACAGCUGUUCAAACUGCAACCAACGCAGCAGCCAACACAACCACAGCAGCUGCCACAACAACCAUAGUUGCUGCCACGACAACCACAGCAUCUCCAACUACAAUCACAGCUGACAAAACAACAACCACAUCUUCUGCCCCAACAACUACAGCUGCUUCCUCUACAACCACAGCUGCCUCCUCUACAACCACAGCUGCUUCCUCUACAACCACAGCUGCUUCUUCUACAACCACAGCCGCUUCCUCUACAACCACAGCUGCUUCCUCUACAACCACAGCUGCUUCCUCUACAACCACAACUGCUUCCUCUACAACCACAACUGCUUCCUCUACAACCACAGCUGCUUCCUCUACAACCACAGUUGCUGCCGCAACAACUAUACCUGCUCCCACAACAACCACAGCAGAUGCCACCACAACCACAGCUGCUCCAUCUACAUCCGGAAAUGCCCUCACAACAACCACAGAUGCUCCAACCACAACAGACACAAACACAACCACAGCUGCUGCCACGGCAACAACUGCUUCUCCAACUAGAACCACAGCUGCUUCCACUACAACCACAGCUGCUUCCACUACAGCCAUAGGUGCUGCAACGACAACCACAGCAGCUGCCCCUACAACAACAGCUGCUCCAACUACAACCACAAAUGCCCCCACCACAUCCACAGCUGGCAACAGGACUACCACAGUUGCUACUACAACAGGCACAGCUGCGUCUACAACAGCCAGAGCUACUACAGCAAUAGCUGCCACUACCACCACUGCUGCUGGAACGAAUACCACAACUGCUUCGACUACAGCCACAACUUCUGCGACGACAACCACAGCUGCUGCCACAAACACCACUGUACCAACAACAACCAAAAUUGUUCCCACAACCACCACAGCCACCGCUACCACAACUACGUCAACAGCGGCACCGACAGCGAAUGAGGGGUCAAUGGGAUUAGGAUUCAGAAUGAUCCGUGCAUUCCAAAGUGACUAUACUGAUUCUUCCACAGCAGCAUAUCAGGAACUGGCAGAAAAUGUUACCACAGAGGUGAAUCAUGGUUACAAAAGAAUUUACCCUUUAACAUACGUAAGGUGUAGGAUUAUUCAGUUCACGAGAGGGUCAAUUAUUGUCAACAUGACCCUUAUUUUCAAAAACCAGACAGUGGUUCCCAAUGUAACGAGUGUGGAGCAGGGAUUGAAUGACUCUCUGUCUCACGGGAACACCUUCCUCGACAUUGAUACAACCUCCAUUACUGCAAGAACUACAACUUCUGCAGCCACCACAUUUGCCGCAACUACCACAGCCACCCCCACAACAACAAAAACAGCUGGUCCUACACCAAACACAGCUGCUUCAACAACAUCUGUUGUUGAAUCAACAAUAAACAAUGCUGCCGCCUCCAGUGGAAUAACCUACAAGACAAGUCUACUCAUCUGUCUUGUUAUGUUGUCACAACUGCUUGACUAAUACUGAUAUAACUGAUCACCACUAUGACAGGGAAACUUACCAACAAUGUAAUCAUAUUUAUUAUUAGAACUGUAUACAAUCUAUUGAACAGCUUGAGGAUAAUGUAAAAAAAAAGAUAACUGUUCUACCAAUUAUCAACAGGAUUUUAAGAAUCUUGAUAGUUAUUCCUUCUACUUACUGUACUAAUACUUAUUGUAACUGAAUGGUGUAUUUAUACUGUUUUGUAAUUCACUAUUACUCAUACUUUGAAUGAAGAAAAUGCUGGUUUCGUUUUCUGUACCGGAUUAAUGAAGAAAUUAAAUGAAAUGCAAUCCAUUACCUGAAAAGACGUUCACUUCCCUUAAGUUACAUUUCAAUAAUUAUUAUUGUGUGCCAACUGCAUCUGUUAUGUCUUGUUCACAUACAACAUAAACACCACUUUAUUUCUAUGAUAGGAAUGAGAUAUGAAUAUCAGAAGAUCGAUUUCAAGCCGAACAGGACAUUUGUUUACAAUGGCAACAACACCAAAAAGACACUGGCUAUGAUAAGUUUGGACAGUAAUCGCAGAAAGGGCAUUUCUAAAUUCAUGAAUAUCUGAAGGUAUAUUUCAUAGGUCGAAAUUCAUUAAAAUAUUAGACUGGCUGUAAUAUGUUACUGGGUGUUUGUGAAGUGAAAUAUGUUGUCAACACACUUUAAAAAUGGGAUAAACAAGAUUAGUCCUUUCAGAUAUAAUUUUUUGUUCCGCUUACCUAUCUCAUUGUUCAUCUCCUAUAGUCUUGAGGGAGGGCUUUGAACACACCUCAACCAUUUUUUUGUCACCCUGAUUUCGCCAAUUGUGUAUCUAUGUAUUUCUCUGCUAGAGUUGAAGUAUUAGAGAGAGGCCUUACAGACAUUAUAAAACCAGUGUAUCUCUCAUGUACACAAAACUGUGUCACAUAUCACAUCAAGGCAGAAAGAUUAACAUAUUUUGGUGGCAAAUAAAGGCCUAAGCACAAAAAAGGUUCAUGCUAUGCUAACUGAAUGGUGAUCUGAGAGUAUGUUGUUAAUUUAUAGGUAAUUUAACUUCAGGCUCUUUGUAGAAGGUAUCAACCUCAGAAAAAUAACCAUGAAGGGACUUUCAACCUCAACCCAUCCAUUAAAAAUACCAUGCCUAAAUAUAAUUAUUUGCAGACUUGAUUGAAUUGAUACAGGACUUGGUAAAUAUUCUUCAUUCAUUAGUGAGAGGGAACUACAACGCACAAGGCAAUGUUUAAUAG
rnacentral:lncRNA from 1 species